CCAACCCAGUGGCUGCUAGCAACUAACCGUUUGAGCUAUGGUGCUGUCCUGCCAGUGUCCUUGAACGGAAUCCACGUUUUGGCGCAUAAUAUUAGAGACGAACGUAGGAGUAAUGGUAUGAGGGGUGAGCCAUAAAAUUGGUCCUCGCACUGCGACCGUCUAUGAUCUAUUGUGCUUCCCUUUUGGAUUAAUAUUACAGAUGUACGUACGUUUCAGUUAGGGUAGGUUUAUGCUGGCACGUAAGUAUGUUGGUAACCGGUACAUUACGCUUUUGCACGACGAAAGCCACAUAAGGUAAACUAUAAUAUAUAAACCUCAGAUUUUACGUAUAAGAUAUACUGCCGAAAAUACAGAAAGAAUGCUCGUGUUCAUCUCUUGACAGCCGCAAAAACUGUGUGUGACGGUGGUGUAAGUUGCCCGUGAAAGUGGAAAUGUAAACUCGCCCAACUUAACCAAUUAGAAGUCGAUGCAAAUGAGACGCCCAGACAAGUGGCCCAGAGUGUCGGGAGGAAAAAGAAGUGGGAGCAAGUGAUAUGAUGUACCAGUUAAUCUAUCCGAGCUGUGCCAGAAUGUGGGGUGAGGCGAUGCUUCAACUGAAGAGAACGCCUCGGGUGCAGACUGAUAUUACCUGCUCCUUUAAGUGAAGAAUGUAGCUCUACAUGAUAGCAACAGAUAAUUGAGCGUGAGUGCAGGAGGGAGGAGUGGAUUUGAUUCUACGUACGUGGUUUGCGUCUGCUGUUCAGGAGAAUCCACGUCCUUCCAGAUAACAUGGGUCUGAAUAUCUGAGUUCCAUUUAUGUGCUGGCACCAUGAUCUGCAGUCAUGUUAAGAGGUUGGCUGCCCUGCCACUGUGACGUAAAUAUCCGGUGAGCACCAUCAAGGUAUGUUUCUUUCCUGGUAUGAAGAGGUAUUUAUAAAUAAUAAGACGGUGUUAUGUGUAUAUUUAUAUAGAUAUAUGAACAAGUUGUGAUUAAUUAUCAGCUUGAAAGUACGAGUAUAUGUUAAAAUAUUCAGUGAGA